AAGAAAGUUGUCUUUUUUUUAUGUAUUAGCCCUUACUGUAUUUCUGCGUCUAGUUUCUUUACGGUGUGUAGUAAGGGGGCAUAUCUCAGUCCGACGGGUACUGUUCCAACCUUUGUAAGGUGUGGUGUUUUUCUUUUUUUUUGCGCGUUAUUUCGCUGGAAGGACUGCUUAGGUUUUUCUUGCAGUGAGUUGUGAAGCUGGGUCGUGGGUUUAUUUGGCUCAAGGAAUUCCAACCCCUCCAUCUCCCGUGCGCGCAAAGAUCCGAGUUCUACUUUCUGGUACCGAAGGAAAAAAGAAAGGGCGGAGUUGUUACGUGGUUAAUAACGCUCGCUGUUUUCGAGAAGCAGGUGGUCGUCGGUGUGUAGAAAAUGAGUGAGGGGUACGGGAUGGUCUGUGUUAUAUAAACUAGGGUUUUCUUCUUGGUUCGAGAAGUCAUCGCUGGGUAGCUGCGCAGCUGCGCGGGAAUGAGGUGGUGCAGAGAUGCCAGCGUGGCUAGUGUGUGAGAAUCAUAAUCCCGGCCCGCUGUGCCAGGUCACUCUCUAUAGCAGGUGGCGUUUUGGUUUCUUUUGAAGAAUCUUUUAAAAAGAGAACUAACUCGUAUUCCAUAGUUUCAUUUAUUCCUGGGUCCACUGUCAAAAGUACCUUUUGUGGCUGGAAUCAAGUCUUUGACGGGAGAGUAGUGAAUUCUCAUGAGGUGGGUGGGUGUGUGUCUGAGAAGGUCCUACUGCCGGAUCAAAGCGUCUCCUGACCUCUGCCGCUUCUCCGUGCACGGAAGGAUUUAUGGCAGGCCUUCUUCCGGUGGGCUUUUUCGUGGGCUCCUGUCUGUGAGUAUGCUGCUGAAUAUUGCCAUCUGCUUGCUAUGUGUUAGAAUACUGCACAGAGCAUGAACAUUUUGUAUUAACCCACCCAGAAAAGAUGGAGAACCCUUUUACAAUCUGAAGGAAAUGAUUCAUAUUGUAAGGUAUUUCGUUACUACGUCUUUGUAGUACGUAAGGAUCACAUUUAUGAUGGGGACUCAGUACAUGUACAUAAGACAUCUUAAUUCUUUUUCUGUCCCCUUCACCUCUCCUCCUCCUGACCCCCACCCCCACCCCACCAUCUCUUGCACCCCUUCCCAUUUGCAGACUUCUCCUAAAGGGGAAACCAUGUUAUAUUUAAGCUUGUGUGUCCGAUCCUUUUUCCUCCAGAUGACUCGAGCUCAUCCUUCGGUGUGGCAGAGUAGUACUCCGUUGCGUAUGAAUAGAUACGUUUAGAGCUAAUAGGCACGGAAGGCACUAACUGCUGAACGAGGCAUUUGGUCUUGCUGACCGGGCGCAGCAAGACCUUGCGCUCCGAAGAAAGAGACUGGAGCCAUACGAUUGUAAAGGUGUCGAGAUGAAAGAACCCAUUGCUAACAUUUGCUCCCCUGACCCUGGACACCCCCUUCCUAUGGACUCUUAAUAAAUAGGCGAAUCUGAAAGGUAAACUCCCCGCAGGAAUUAUAUCUGGGCCGAAAGAUUAACUAUUUCGUGACCGCGAUUGGAACUGUGAGAAUAGAACGUGACCACCCAAA